UUGAGCAGAGAUGUGGAUCAGAUCUCUAAAAUUGUUUUUUAAUAAUACAAUUCUGGGUGUGAUGCAGCCCCUGGGCCUGAGGCAAAAAAAAAUCAAAACAAGACAAAACAAAAACCCAACUGGGAAGUUACUGCAAUGGCCCAGGAGAGAGAUGAUGUGGCCCAAGAGAGCUGUUCAUACCCUGAAGAGAAGGGAAAACCAACAUCAUUUUUAAGUUUUGCCAUCAUGUACCCUUCCUUAGUUGCAUUUUUAAAAUGGCAGCACUGCUAAAACCAUCGGCCCAGGCCCCGCUUCUGUGAGUGGCCUUUCUGCUGCUCAGCACUGGACUGUUGUCCCACUUGGCUGCUUUGUGUAUUCACAUGAAGGCGAAGCACAGAAAUUAAAAACGAUCAAGGCGACUCAUGGAUUCUGCUGUGAACUCACUUCACUGAUUGAAACAGGAUGACACCACUUUAAAGCCACUCGUGGAAGUUCUGGUCUCCGGUAAUGCAUCGUAAUACCUUUCCUCAGGUUUUAUUUCAAAUCCAAAUGCCUGGAUCGAGUUCCUACUUCAUUCAUAUGCUGAUUAACUUUUCUCAGGUCUCUAGACCUGUGUUGCCUUCUAUGGAAGCCACUAGACACAUAUGAGUAAAUGUAAACUAAUUAAUACAAAAUAAAGUUAAAAAUACAGUUCCUCAAUCACACCAGUCAAGUACGCAACAGCUACAUGUGGCUAUGGCUACUGCACAGGGCAGUACAGACAUUGCCAUCUGCCACUGCAGAAGGUUCUACCACAUUAAGUGCUUGCUCUGGGCCCUUCAUUCUAUUUUUUUAAAAAAUCACAUCUUCUGGCAUUUUAAUGCCUUUUUGAAAUGCUAAAUGACCACCUGUCAUUGGUUUGAUAGUCACACCUACUCAAUCCAUAACCAAACAUUUUAAUGUAAUGGCAGAAAUGUUUUCAACCAAAUUAAGAAUGAACCCAGAUAGGGGCAAUUCAAGAAAAGGAAAAAAAAAACCAAUCAGCCAGUUCCAAGAAUCCUUGUCUCAAUUUCUGUUCACAUUAGUCUCCAAAAAAAUAUAAAGAGCUCCCCGCACCUUUAAAAAUUAUGGGAAAAAAACACAUAAAUGAGACUAUCCUUUUAGCAAACUAAGUGUACAGUACCGUUUUGGUAACUGUAAGCACAAUAUUGUGAAACAGGCAUCUACGCCUCUUCCGUCUUGCAUAACUGAAACUUGAUACCCACUGAACAGCAGCUCCCCAUUUGUCUCGCCCCCCGGCCCUUGACAACCAUCACUUCCUGCUUUUUACAAGCACUUCCAGAUCAUAGCUGAGAUGCUCCCCUGCGUCACCAGCCUUCUCGCCUCUCGCACAACGCAGAUCUGACCCUUCCUGCGCGACUCUCCUCUUGCUCAGCCCGCACCACAGGGAAACAUUCCCACUCACUCUGACCACUUUCACACUUUCCUGAGACCUUCCCUGCAUUUCCUUCAUCAAUUUCCAUUCUCUCAGGUCAUUAUCUGCAAGGUCUUGGGCUAAGUACUGCAAGUACAAAGAGAAUAAGGCAUUACGUGCUGAUUGCAAGGAAACACCAGGCCCGGUGCAUUUGCCCAGCUCAGCAAUUUUAAUUCAUUUGUACUGGACAAGCAGCAGCGCCUCAACUAAUGUUUCCAUUUAGUGAACUGGAACGACAGAGUUUGGACAAAAAUAAACCGAUUAUAUUACCGAGUGGCGGCUGUUAAUGUCUGAUAAAGCUUUUAUCGGUCUUAAGAGAAAUCUUUUCAUUCCCCCCACCACCCCACUCAGCGGAGCGAUGAAGCCAAGCAAA